rnacentral:rRNA from 1 species
AGCAUAUCAAUAAGCGGAGGAAAAGAAACCAACAGGGAUUACCUCAGUAACGGCGAGUGAAGCGGUAACAGCUCAAAUUUGAAAGCUAGCUCUUUUAGGGUUCGCAUUGUAAUUUGUAGAAGAUGCUUCGGGUGUGGCCCCGGUCUAAGUUCCUUGGAACAGGACGUCAUAGAGGGUGAGAAUCCCGUAUGUGACUGGGUGCUUUCGCUCAUGUGAAGCUCUUUCGACGAGUCGAGUUGUUUGGGAAUGCAGCUCAAAGUGGGUGGUAAAUUUCAUCUAAAGCUAAAUAUUGGCCAGAGACCGAUAGCGCACAAGUAGAGUGAUCGAAAGAUGAAAAGCACUUUGGAAAGAGAGUUAAACAGUACGUGAAAUUGUUGAAAGGGAAGCGCUUGCAACCAGACUUGCGCGCUGAUGAUCAUCCGGGCUUCUGCCCGGUGCACUCGUCUGCGCUCAGGCCAGCAUCGGUUUCGGUGGUGGGAUAAAGGCCUUGGGAAUGUAGCUCCUCUCGGGGAGUGUUAUAGCCCUCGGUGCAAUGCCGCCUACCGGGACCGAGGACCGCGCUUCGGCUAGGAUGCUGGCGUAAUGGUCGUAAGCGACCCGUCU